UGGCAACAAGCUGUGUUGGUC
rnacentral:siRNA from 1 species